rnacentral:rRNA from 1 species
UACGUAGGUGGCAAGCGUUGUCCGGAAUUAUUGGGCGUAAAGCGUGCGCAGGCGGUCUGUUAAGAGAGAUGUGAAAUCCCCGGGCUUAACCUGGGAACUGCGUUUCUAACUGGCAGGCUUGAGUGUGGCAGAGGGGGGUGGAAUUCCACGUGUAGCAGUGAAAUGCGUAGAGAUGUGGAGGAACACCGAUGGCGAAGGCAGCCCCCUGGGCUAACACUGACGCUCAUGCACGAAAGCGUGGGGAGCAAACAGG